AUGAUGGGAAUUUAAACCCCUUCCAGAGUAUCAAUUGGAGGGCAAGUCUGGUGCCAGCAGCCGCGGUAAUUCCAGCUCCAAUAGCGUAUAUUAAACUUGUUGCAGUUAAAAAGCUCGUAGUUGAAUUUCUGCUGCAUCGUGGUUCUUCGCUAUGUCGAGUGAUCUUCGUUGUGGCUUAGUUGGGGCAUGUUUUCAUGACUCGACGUUUACUUUGAGAAAAUUAGAGUGCUUCAAGCAGGCUUUUGCCUUGAAUACUUUAGCAUGGAAUAAUGGAGUAGGACUUUGGUUCUAUUUUGUUGGUUUUAGGAGCCGGAGUAAUGG
rnacentral:rRNA from 1 species